GGGUUGUGAGGUUAAGCGAAUAAGCGUACACGGUGGAUGCCUAGGCAAUCAGAGGCGAUGAAGGACGUGCUAAUCUGCGAUAAGCGUCGGUAAGGUGAUAUGAACCGUUAUACCCGACGAUUUCCGAAUGGGGAAACCCAAUAUCCAAUGGAUAUUAUCAUGACGUGAAUACAUAGCGUCAUGAAGCGAACCGGGAGAACUGAAACAUCUCAGUACCCCGAGGAAAAGAAAUCAACCGAGAUUCCCCUAGUAGCGGCGAGCGAACGGGGAACAGCCCAGAGUCUUAAUCAAUAGCAGCAUCAGGAGAACGGUCUGGAAAGUCCGGCAGUAAAGGGUGAUAGCCCCGUAUCUGAAGAUGUUGUUAUUGUGAACUCGACGAGUAGGGCGGGACACGUGUUAUCCUGUCUGAAUAUGGGGGGACCAUCCUCCAAGGCUAAAUACUCCUGAUUGACCGAUAGUGAACCAGUACCGUGAGGGAAAGGCGAAAAGAACCCCGGCGAGGGGAGUGAAAAAGAACCUGAAACCGUGUACGUACAAGCAGUAGGAGCCUCUUUAUGGGGUGACUGCGUACCUUUUGUAUAAUGGGUCAGCGACUUAUAUUCUGUAGCAAGGUUAACCGUAUAGGGGAGCCGUAGGGAAACCGAGUCUUAACUGGGCGAAUGAGUUGCAGGGUAUAGACCCGAAACCCGGUGAUCUAUCCAUGGGCAGGUUGAAGGUUGGGUAACACUAACUGGAGGACCGAACCGACUAAUGUUGAAAAAUUAGCGGAUGACUUGUGGAUGGGGGUGAAAGGCCAAUCAAACCGGGAGAUAGCUGGUUCUCCCCGAAAGCUAUUUAGGUAGCGCCUCGUGAACUCAUCUUCGGGGGUAGAGCACUGUUUCGACUAGGGGGUCAUCCCGACUUACCAACUCGAUGCAAACUGCGAAUACCGAAGAAUGUUAUCACGGGAGACACACGGCGGGUGCUAACGUCCGUCGUGAAGAGGGAAACAACCCAGACCGCCAGCUAAGGUCCCAAAGUCAUGGUUAAGUGGGAAACGAAGUGGGAAGGCUCAGACAGCCAGGAUGUUGGCUUAGAAGCAGCCAUCAUUUAAAGAAAGCGUAAUAGCUCACUGGUCGAGUCGGCCCGCGCGGAAGAUGUAACGGGGCUAAACCAUGCACCGAAGCUGCGGCAGCGACACUAUGUGUUGUUGGGUAGGGGAGCGUUCUGUAAGCCUGCGAAGGUGUACUGUGAGGUAUGCUGGAGGUAUCAGAAGUGCGAAUGCUGACAUAAGUAACGAUAAUGCGGGUGAAAAACCCGCACGCCGGAAGACCAAGGGUUCCUGUCCAACGUUAAUCGGGGCAGGGUGAGUCGACCCCUAAGGCGAGGCUGAAAAGCGUAGUCGAUGGGAAACGGGUUAAUAUUCCCGUACUGGUGGUAACUGCGAUGGGGGAACGGAGAAGGCUAGGUUGUCCGGGCGACGGUCGUCCCGGUUCAAGCAUGUAGGCAGAGUGAUUAGGCAAAUCCGGUCACUUAAUGCUGAGGUGUGAUGACGAACCACUAAGGUGGUGAAGCAAUUGAUGCCCUGCUUCCAGGAAAAGCCUCUAAGCUUCAGGUUACCAACAAUCGUACCCCAAACCGACACAGGUGGUCAGGUAGAGAAUACUCAGGCGCUUGAGAGAACUCGGGUGAAGGAACUAGGCAAAAUGGUGCCGUAACUUCGGGAGAAGGCACGCUGGCGGUAAGUGAAGUCCCUUGCGGACGGAGCCGAAGCCAGUCGAAGAUACCAGCUGGCUGCAACUGUUUAUUAAAAACACAGCACUGUGCAAACACGAAAGUGGACGUAUACGGUGUGACGCCUGCCCGGUGCUGGAAGGUUAAUUGAUGGGGUUAUCCGUAAGGAGAAGCUCUUGAUCGAAGCCCCAGUAAACGGCGGCCGUAACUAUAACGGUCCUAAGGUAGCGAAAUUCCUUGUCGGGUAAGUUCCGACCUGCACGAAUGGCGUAAUGAUGGCCAGGCUGUCUCCACCCGAGACUCAGUGAAAUUGAACUCGCUGUGAAGAUGCAGUGUACCCGCGGCAAGACGGAAAGACCCCGUGAACCUUUACUAUAGCUUGACACUGAACAUUGAGCCUUGAUGUGUAGGAUAGGUGGGAGACUAUGAAGUGUGGACGCCAGUCUGCAUGGAGUCAACCUUGAAAUACCACCCUUUAACGUUUGAUGUUCUAACCUAGGUCCAUAAUCUGGAUCGGGGACCGUGUCUGGUGGGUAGUUUGACUGGGGCGGUCUCCUCCUAAAGAGUAACGGAGGAGCACGAAGGUUGGCUAAGCAUGGUCGGACAUCAUGCGGUUAGUGCAAAGGCAUAAGCCAGCUUGACUGUGAGAGUGACGGCUCGAGCAGGUACGAAAGUAGGUCUUAGUGAUCCGGUGGUUCUGAAUGGAAGGGCCAUCGCUCAACGGAUAAAAGGUACUCCGGGGAUAACAGGCUGAUACCGCCCAAGAGUUCAUAUCGACGGCGGUGUUUGGCACCUCGAUGUCGGCUCAUCACAUCCUGGGGCUGAAGUAGGUCCCAAGGGUAUGGCUGUUCGCCAUUUAAAGUGGUACGCGAGCUGGGUUUAGAACGUCGUGAGACAGUUCGGUCCCUAUCUGCCGUGGGCGUUGGAAGAUUGAGAGGGGUUGCUCCUAGUACGAGAGGACCGGAGUGAACGCACCACUGGUGUUCGGGUUGUCAUGCCAAUGGCAUUGCCCGGUAGCUAAGUGCGGAAGAGAUAACCGCUGAAAGCAUCUAAGCGGGAAACUUGCCUCGAGAUGAGUCUUCCCUGUCACCUUGAGUGACCUAAAGGAACGUUUAAGACUAAGACGUUGAUAGGCUGGGUGUGUAAGCGUAGCGAUACGUUGAGCUAACCAGUACUAAUGAACCGUGAGGCUUAACCUGACAACACCGAAGGUGUUU
rnacentral:rRNA from 1 species